rnacentral:rRNA from 1 species
GACGAACGCUGGCGGCGUGCUUAACACAUGCAAGUCGUACGGUAAGGCCCUUUCGGGGGUACACGAGUGGCGAACGGGUGAGUAACACGUGAGUAACCUGCCCACAACUUUGGGAUAACGCUAGGAAACUGGUGCUAAUACUGGAUAUGUGCUCCUGCUGCAUGGUGGGGGUUGGAAAGCUCCGGCGGUUGUGGAUGGACUCGCGGCCUAUCAGCUUGUUGGUGGGGUAGUGGCCUACCAAGGCGGCGACGGGUAGCCGGCCUGAGAGGGUGACCGGCCACAUUGGGACUGAGAUACGGCGCAGACUCCUACGGGAGGCAGCAGUGGGGAAUAUUGCACAAUGGGCGCAAGCCUGAUGCAGCAACGCCGCGGGCGGGAUGACGGCCUUCGGGUUGUAAACCGCUUUCAGCAGGGACGAAGCUUUUUGUGACGGUACCUGCAGAAGAAGCACCGGCUAACUACGUG